rnacentral:lncRNA from 8 species
AUGGGUGGUCUCCCUGGAUUCCCUGGCCCUCCCCCCUCCCUCACCCCCGGUGGACCCCCUCUCUUCCUGCCCGCUGGCUUCAACCCCACACAUCCUCCAGGUUUCCCUCCUCCAGUAGUGGGUGGGCCAGGGAGCACCAAAUAUGACUCUGGAUCUAAAGACAAGGCUGGAGGGUGUGGUGGCCCCUCAGACACUCUAGACAGCCAGCUGGGAGCUCCAGGUCCAGGCGGACCAGGGACCGUGAUGAGUCCUCCAGGCCCAGCAGUGUUACUGGGUCCCAGGCCGGCCAUGCUGCCCAUGCAGCCUCGUCCGGGACUACCACCCCCUCACCUCCAGCCCCACUUCCCCCCUCACCUCCCUCCCCCCAACAUGCCCCCUAUGAUGAUGGGCCCCAGGGGCCCCAACCCUAUGUUCCCCCCCAGGGGGGGCCCUCCAGGUGGGUUCAGGAUGCCCAUGGGACACCCUUCCAUGGAGGACUUUCCUCACGGACCCCCCAGACAUCCCUUCCAGCCCGGACCCCCCGGGGAAGAAGAGGGCAACAGGGAGGGCGGGAGAUACUUCAGGGGCGAGAGGCCAGGGUUUGGGGGACGUGACGGGGAUGGGGGUCGGUUUGGGGAGCGGGGGAGAGGGUUUCCUAGAGGAAGAGGAGGCGGAAAUGGUUGGUCCAUGGAUGGGCCUGAGGGGAGGGAUCGCUUCAUGAACCGACGGGAUAGAUUUGAAUGGUGAUGAGGCAGAGCCAGGAGGUGUCCGCCGUAGAGACUGGGGUCCUGUUCAGGAGGGAGAAAACGUUUUGGAACAGAGUGAAACGGGAAUGAACUACCUGAACUUGUCCAGUAAAAACACAGAGUUUUUUUUGUUUGUUUUGCUGAACACAACCCAGAUGUCUGACCUCGAGAACUACUUGGAGACUGGGCACACGGAUUCAGACGCAGACGUUGUAAUGUACAUCCUGUCCCUGACGAUUUUCUCCACCGUUCCAAAGACAUUAAGACUAACACAGAGAGAAAAAUAUUAUGGGAUGCUUUCCCAUAACAUAGAAUAAGCCCAGUCCAUGAAUUAAAAAGCAGGUUCAAUGGAGUAUCUCUGUUAGAAUAACUUCUUAGUCCAGGACUAGAUUUAAUCUGUGUCUGGGGAAACCUACCCUAUGAGAAUAUCGCCGUUUAAACCAGUGGAAGUCUAAUUUUGAAGUCCGUUCGUAUGAAGAACUUUGUCCUACCUUUUUGAUCUGGUAUGUUCUGAGAGAAAAAUACUGCUUUCUAUAUAUUGUAUUUGUGCUGAUGGCCAAUAUUCUGUUUUUGUAUCUUUUGAGUGAAUGUUUUUUGUUUCUUCUCCAGUAAGUCUGUCGCUAUGGCAGUGAGGAGAAAACAGACUGUUGAUCUGAAAACACGAUCGUCCUUGUAUUGGUGGGGGAGGGAUGGGGGCUCAAAACGUGAAAAUCUUUUUCUUCAGAAUUUAUCAUUAGCAAUUUGUUUUUAGUAAACUAUUUUUGUACAAAUGUAAGUGUCUUUUUGUUGUUGUUGUAAGUUCUUCAUGGGAGGCAUAUUAAAUGUAAUGUUAUUUUUGUUUUAACUCACUCGUACAAGGGACGACUAGGCAGUUCCAUUGUCUACCAGUAGAGGGUACUGUACCACUUCUUUACGUGGGAUAGUAGCUAGGGUCUCACUUGGGAAGCAUGCCAAAUUCCACCCUAUUCUGUAUAUAGUGCCCUACUUUUGACCAGGGAAUACGGUGGGGACUAGGCCCCUUGAGAAGAUGGGCAAGUCCCUGUCCAGAAUUGUGUUGCCUGGAAGAAAAAAACUGGGGAAAAUGCUCCUCAUCAAACGUACACAGGAUACAGCAACUGUUAAACAGUACAGUGGAAGUCUAACCUUGAGAGGUCUUUCCCAACAAUGCAGUGACACUAAUAUAGAUAAUGAUAGAAAAUAGAAUAUAAAUUACUGUCAGUGUGUAUAUAUACAGGUCAGUGUGUGUGUGUAUACAGGUCAGUGUGUGUAUAUACAGGUCAGUGUGUGUAUAUAUACAGGUCAGUGUGUGUAUAUACAGGUCAGUGUGUGUAUAUACAGGUCAGUGUGUGUAUAUAUACAGGUCAGUGUGUGUAUAUAUACAGGUCAGUGUGUGUAUAUAUACAGGUCAGUGUGUAUAUAUACAGGUCAGUGUGUGUAUAUAUAGGUCAGUGUGUGUAUAUAUACAGGUCAGUGUGUGUAUAUACAGGUCAGUGUGUGUAUAUAUACAGGUCAGUGUGUGUAUAUAUACAGGUCAGUGUGUGUAUAUAUACAGGUCAGUGUGUGUAUAUAUACAGGUCAGUGUGUGUAUAUAUACAGGUCAGUGUGUGUAUAUAUACAGGUCAGUGUGUGUGUAUAUAUACAGGUCAGUGUGUGUAUAUAUACAGGUCAGUGUGUGUGUGUGUGUAUAUAUACAGGUCAGUGUGUAUGUAUACAGGUCAGUGUGUAUAUAUACAGGUCAGUGUGUAUAUAUACAGGUCAGUGUGUAUAUAUACAGGUCAGUGUAUAUGUAUACAGGUCAGUGUGUAUGUAUACAGGUCAGUGUGUGUGUGUGUACAGGUCAGUGUGUGUAUAUAUACAGGUCAGUGUGUGUAUAUACAGGUCAGUGUGUGUGUAUAUAUAUAUACAGGUCAGUGUGUGUAUAUAUAUAUAUAUAUAUACAGGUCAGUGUGUUUAUAUAUAUAUAUAUAUACAGGUCAGUGUGUGUGUAUAUAUAUAUAUAUAUACAGGUCAGUGUGUGUAUAUAUACAGGUCAGUGUGUGUAUAUAUACAGGUCAGUGUGUGUAUAUAUAUAGGUCAGUGUGUGUAUAUAUAGGUCAGUGUGUGUGUAUAUAUAUACGUCAGUGUGUGUAUAUACAGGUCAGUG